rnacentral:rRNA from 1 species
UAUCUCUUGAAAUGGCUGACCUAUCAACUUUCGAUGGUAAGAUCAAAGCUUACCAUGGUUGUAACGGGUAACGGGGAAUCAGUGUUCGAUUCCGGAGAGGGAGCCUGAGAAACGGCUACCACAUCCACGGAAGGCAGCAGGCGCGCAAAUUACCCAAUACCGGCUCGGUGAGGUAGUGACGAAAAAUAACAAUAUGGGCCCUAGUGGUUUCAUAAUUGCAAUGAGAACAUUUUAAAUACUUUAUCAAGUAUCAAUUGGAGGGCAAGUCUGGUGCCAGCAGCCGCGGUAAUUCCAGCUCCAAAAGCGUAUAUUAAAGUUGUUGCAGUUAAAAAGCUCGUAGUUGAAUUUGGGGAAGUGCGACGGAAUGAGAUCUAUGAUCGAUUACUGUUGCACCCUUCAUCAUCGUGUAUACUGUUGGGGUGCUUUACUGUAUCUCUUCAGUAACCGAUAAGUUUACUUUGAAAAAAUUAGAGUGCUUAAAGCAGGCUUAUGCUUGUAUAUUGUUGCAUGGAAUAAUGAAAUAGGACUUCGGUUUUAUUUUGUUGGUUUUCUUAACUGAAGUAAUGAUUAAAAGAGACUGCCGGGGGCAUAUGUAUGCUGGUGUUAGAGGUGAAAUUCUUAGAUCAUCAGCAGACAAACUACUGCGAAAGCAUUUGCCAAGAAUGUUUUCAUUAAUCAAGAACGAAAGUCAGAGGAUCGAAGACGAUCAGAUACCGUCCUAGUUCUGACCAUAAACUAUGCCAACUGACAGUUAGCGAAGGUAGAAUUAUUUAUCCUUGCUAGAAGUCACCGGGAAACCUAAGUCUAUGGGUUCCGGGGGAAGUAUGGUUGCAAAGCUGAAACUUAAAGGAAUUGACGGAAGGGCACCACCAGGAGUGGAGCCUGCGGCUUA